GGGGGCGUGGCGCAGAUGGUAGCGCGCUCGCUUAGCAUGCGAGAGGUAACGGGAUCGAUACCCGUCGCCUCCA